GACGAACGCUGGCGGCGUGCUUAACACAUGCAAGUCGAACGGUGAAGCCCUUCGGGGUGGAUCAGUGGCGAACGGGUGCGUAACACGUGAGCAACCUGCCCCUGGCUCUGGGACAACCACUGGAAACGGUGGCUAAUACCGGAAACGACCCGCCUCGGCAUCUAGUGUGGGUGGAACGGUUUUCGGCUGGGGAUGGGCUCGCGGCCGAUCAGCUUGUUGGUGAGGUGAAGGCUCACCAAGGCGACGACGGGCAGCCGGCCUGAGAGGGCGACCGGCCACAGUGGGACUGAGACACGGCACAGACUCCUACGGGAGGCAGCAGUGGGGAAUAGUGCACAAUGGGCGAAAGCCUGAUGCAGCGACGCCGCGUGAGGGAUGACGGCCUUCGGGUUGUAAACCUCUUUCAGCUCCGAAGAAGCGAAAGUGACGGUAGGAGCAGAAGAAGCACCGGCUAACUACGUG
rnacentral:rRNA from 1 species